rnacentral:lncRNA from 1 species
GAAAAGAAAAAGAAAGUCAUACAUGCAAAUUCGAAAUUUCUGGUACUCCUAUUUAAAAAGUAAAAAGAGACUAGUUACAUCACAUAUUUAAUAAUACAUUUUAUUUAUGUCAAUAUAGCCUAAAUAUUCUCAUUUAAAAAUGUAAUAGUUAUGAGAAUUAUUGACGAGAUUCUUCUAUUCUUUUUUUUAUGCUAAGAGUUUUGAACUUAGUGAUCAUGAAAAGUGAAAAAAAAAAAGUCCUGGAAAAAUGCUGGAGGUAAAAUGUUAAGUUAAAAUAAAAAAACAGCACAAACGCAAACGUACCCUGGGACUGUGACAAUGUCAGCCUGAUCUCUAUGUCCAGGGCCAAGGCCUAGAGAAGGACGUGGGAAAGGAAGCAGUCUGUGCGGGUGGGUGGCGCGGGCCGCCGGGCUCUUGUUCCCCUCAGCCACACCACCGGUCUCUGUUUUCACCUGUUCUUUGAAUCUCAUCACCUAAGUAAUAGAUAUUCCUCGUAGCAAAAUACGACAGCGUAGAAAGCAAACUGAGGAAAAUAAAAGCCACCCACAACGCAUUGAUCAGACUCAGUUGCCAUUAGGACUCAGUCAUUAUAAAUCAUUUUUACAAAACACAUUAAACUUGUAGGUUUGGAAGGCAGAUCAGGUGGUGCUGUGAGCUGGUACUGAACGGAGCAGAGUCCAGGCCGCCUGUCCCCCACGUCCUCGGGCCUUUCUGUUUCUGCCCACGGAGCUCGUUCAUGCAAAAGGAGCCGUGGUUAUGGACGUCACUUAAUUAUUUCACACUUUUUCUCCAGAAAGCACAUGAAGAGGCUGUGGGCAGGAGAUAAACACUUUCUCCCUUUGCGGUUCCACAAUCCUUCCCCGUCUGAGAGUGUGGUAAGUCUGAGUCUGAGCCAUGAGCCCAAAUCUGCCUCUUUGGGGUGUGGGGAACCUCUGAGACUGGUAAGGGGGUCAGAGGGAAAGAAGGUUCUCUCCUGCUCUGAGGUCACUGUUUCCUUCUAAAUCUCAGGUGGCCAUUGCAAGGUACUCCGGCUGGCAAAUAGCUUAUAUUCUGUGGGGUAAGUGCCACCUGGGACCUGUGCGACUCAACACAUGUUUCCUGGGAGGGAGGAGAGGUGAGUGGGAAGCAGCCCUACUUCUGCCCUCAAGGGACCUUCAGGAUGGGGGAGAAACACACAGGUCCAUCAUCCUGUCACCCUCCCCGCCUGUCCUGAACUCACAGGCCAUGGAUGUUAAGGUCUGCGAUCACUAGAGGAGGAAGUGACUAACCCCAGCCAGGACAGGGCUCCGAGGCUCUCUAGGGGAGUCUGCAUUUGAACCGCACCUGGCCAGGUGGGAAGAGAAGAGUGGGAAGACAGGGGAGGCCAUGCCAGGCAGCAGGAAUAGCAUCAGCAACCAUGCCAGGGCCUCUGGUGGACUGCCGGGAAGACACGGGGGCAGAUCAUGACCACCCCCAAGUGAGCCUUACUCCCCUGUCCCUAGGCUACCUCAUCAUCCAUGUGAUGCAGAGCCUGUGUGGCCUGAUGAUCAUGUAUGGCCUGGUGCUUCCUGUCACCCACCACAGGGGCCUGGAGAUGCUCCGAAGGCUGGGACUUGGGAUGUAAGUGCUGAGUGGGUGGUCUGUCCUUCCUGAGUCCUGGGAGCCAAUCCCUGGGCCUCUGAUCAUCUUGGGCCCUCACCUCAACUGACCAGGAACGGAAGCUUCCAGUUUGAAAAAAGCUUUCUCUCCUACCGUUACAAUGAGCCUUUAUAACUCUGUGUGUGUGUGUGAGAGAGAGAGAGAGGGAGAGAGGGAGAGAGAGAGAUGAUGUGCAUUUUCCAUCUGGGAAAACGGAAUUCUCAGGAGGUGAGGGAGAAACAGGACAGCAUGAUGGAAGGAGGCAAGGAAUAAUCCUGGCUAAAUUUUUAGAUGUGCUUUGUGACUUGAGGCAAAUGCCUCGCCUUCUCUGAGCCUCAGUUUACCCAUCUGGAAAAUGGUGAAUGCUGGUAUCCUUGAGCAUUUAUUAUGUGUCUUUCCUCAUGUCAGCUCUGUGAGUU